GACGAACGCUGGCGGCGUGCCUAAUACAUGCAAGUCGAGCGAGACUCUUCGGAGUCUAGCGGCGGACGGGUGAGUAACACGUGGGCAACCUGCCUGUAAGACUGGGAUAACACCGGGAAACCGGUGCUAAUACCGGAUAAUCCCUUUCCUCUCAUGAGGAAAAGCUGAAAGUCGGUUUCGGCUGACACUUACAGAUGGGCCCGCGGCGCAUUAGCUAGUUGGUGAGGUAACGGCUCACCAAGGCGACGAUGCGUAGCCGACCUGAGAGGGUGGUCGGCCACACUGGGACUGAGACACGGCCCAGACUCCUACGGGAGGCAGCAGUAGGGAAUCUUCCACAAUGGACGAAAGUCUGAUGGAGCAACGCCGCGUGAGCGAUGAAGGCCUUCGGGUCGUAAAGCUCUGUUGUUAGGGAAGAACAAGUACCGGAGUAACUGCCGGUACCUUGACGGUACCUAACCAGAAAGCCACGGCUAACUACGUGCCAGCCGCCGCAGUAAAAC
rnacentral:rRNA from 1 species